AUUGAACGCUGGCGGCAGGCCUAACACAUGCAAGUCGAACGAGUGGCGGACGGGUGAGUAAUGUCUGGGAAACUGCCUGAUGGAGGGGGAUAACUACUGGAAACGGUAGCUAAUACCGCAUACCAUCGGAUGUGCCCAGAUGGGAUUAGCUAGUAGGUGGGGUAACGGCUCACCAGGGCGACGAUCCCUAGCUGGUCUGAGAGGAUGACCAGCCAAACGGGAACUGAGACACGGUCCAGACGCCUCCGGUAGGCAGAAGUGGGGAAUAUUGCACAAGGGGCGCAAGCCUGAUGCAGCCAUGCCGCGUGUAUGAAGAAGGCCUUCGGGUUGUAAAGUACUUUCAGCGGGGAGGCGUUACCCGCAGAAGAAGCACCGGCUAACUCCGUGCCAGCAGCCGCGGUAAUAC
rnacentral:rRNA from 1 species